CCUACGGGUGGCUGCAGUGGGGAAUAUUGCACAAUGGGCGCAAGCCUGAUGCAGCCAUACCGCGUGUGUGAAGAAGGCCUUCGGGUUGUAAAGCACUUUCAGCGGGGAGGAAGGCGGUGAGGUUAAUAACCUCAUCGAUUGACGUUACCCGCAGAAGAAGCACCGGCUAACUCCGUGCCAGCAGCCGCGGUAAUACGGAGGGUGCAAGCGUUAAUCGGAAUUACUGGGCGUAAAGCGCACGCAGGCGGUCUGUCAAGUCGGAUGUGAAAUCCCCGGGCUCAACCUGGGAACUGCAUUCGAAACUGGCAGGCUAGAGUCUUGUAGAGGGGGGUAGAAUUCCAGGUGUAGCGGUGAAAUGCGUAGAGAUCUGGAGGAAUACCGGUGGCGAAGGCGGCCCCCUGGACAAAGACUGACGCUCAGGUGCGAAAGCGUGGGGAGCAAACAGGAUUAGAUACCCCUGUAGUC
rnacentral:rRNA from 1 species